AUUGAACGCUGGCGGAAUGCUUUACACAUGCAAGUCGAACGGUAGAGGGGGCAACCCCUCGAGAGUGGCGAACGGGGGAGUAAUAUAUCGGAACGUGCCCAGUCGUGGGGGAUAACGAAGCGAAAGUUACGCUAAUACCGCAUACGAUCUAAGGAUGAAAGCGGGGGAUCGCAAGACCUCGCGCGAUUGGAGCGGCCGAUAUCAGAUUAGGUAGUUGGUGGGGUAAAGGCUCACCAAGCCAACGAUCUGUAGCUGGUCUGAGAGGACGACCAGCCACACUGGAACUGAGACACGGUCCAGACUCCUACGGGAGGCAGCAGUGGGGAAUUUUGGACAAUGGACGCAAGUCUGAUCCAGCCAUUCCGCAUGCAGGAUGAAGGCCCUCGGGUUGUAAACUGCUUUUGUACGGAACGAAAAGGUCUCUCUUAAUACGGGGGACUCAUGACGGUACCGUAAGAAUAAGCACCGGCUAACUACGUGCCAGCCGCCGCAGUAA
rnacentral:rRNA from 1 species